rnacentral:rRNA from 2 species
UGGCUCAGAACGAACGCUGGCGGCACGCCUAACACAUGCAAGUCGAGCGCCCCGCAAGGGGAGCGGCGACGGGUUAGUAACGCGUGGGAACGUACCCUUUUCUACGGAAUAGCCUCGGGAAACUGAGAUUAAUACCGUAUACGCCCUUUGGGGGAAAGAUUUAUCGGAGAAGGAUCGGCCCGCGUUAGAUUAGUUAGUUGGUGGGGUAAUGGCCUACCAAGACUACGAUCUAUAGCUGGUUUGAGAGGAUGAUCAGCAACACUGGGACUGAGACACGGCCCAGACUCC